rnacentral:rRNA from 1 species
AGAUAAGCAUUCCGUGCAGCCUCGGGCUGCUGUAGUCCCCAUGCAGAACACGUGGUCGAUAGGCCGGACGUGGAAGCCCCGCGAGGGGUGGAGCCGACCGGUACUAACGGACGAAAGGCAACACUCA